rnacentral:tRNA from 1 species
GGAAAGGUGGCAGAGUGGUUGAAUGCAUUAGUUUUGAAAACUGACGUAGCUCCAACUACCGGGGGUUCGAAUCCCCCCCUUUCCU